GGGCUCCAAGCCACCGCGCCUUCUCAAAGCUCUGGACCACGCUCCUUCAGCUGACUGCAGACUCCACCCUCCGCAUCUACUGGACAUGGACCCCAACUGCUCCUGCGCCACCGGAGGCUCCUGCACCUGCGGCGACUCCUGCAAAUGCAAAGAGUGCAAAUGCACGUCCUGCAAGAAAAGCUGCUGCUCCUGCUGCCCUGUGGGCUGUGCCAAGUGUGCCCAGGGCUGCAUCUGCAAAGGGGCAUCGGACAAGUGCAGCUGCUGCGCCUGAUGGGAGAGCCCUGCCCAGCUGUAAAUAGAGGCCCACCUGUACAAAGCCGGAGUUUUCUUUUUUCAUACAGCCCUUAGAUGUUUCCUACAAUCUUUUUUCUACAAAAUAAUAUGAAAGAUAAUAAAAGUUGGUGACUUUAA